rnacentral:ncRNA from 1 species
UUCCCGACGCUUGGAAUCAAGAUGCUUUGGGCCCGGGGACGUAAUAGCUGCCGAUCAAGGGGAUCUCUUCACGGCAGCCGGUAUAGCCGGUUAGGUGCGACCCGCAAGGGCGAGAAGGCAAUGGCAGGGCAGCGUAAAAACCCACCACGGGCGCUGUCACUGUCCUAAAACCCACCAACCGCCAGACGCCGAAGAGGGCAGGGGGCGCAGUGGUAAACAAUCCCCGAAAGUCUGGAACGCCU